rnacentral:misc_RNA from 1 species
GAAAUGCGAUAAGUAAUGUGAAUUGCAGAAUUCAGUGAAUCAUCGAAUCUUUGAACGCACCUUGCGCUCCUUGGUAUUCCUUGGAGCAUGCCUGUUUGAGUAUCAUGAAAUCUUCAAAGUAAAUCUUUUGUUAACUCAAUUGGUUUCUACUUUGGUAUUGGAGGUCUUUGCAGCUUCACACCUGCUCCUCUUUGUUCAUUAGCUGGAUCUCAGUGUUAUGCUUGGUUCCACUCGGCGUGAUAAGUUAUCUAUCGCUGAGGACACUGUAAAAGGUGGCCAAGGUAAAUGCAGAUGAACCGCUUCUAAUAGUCCAUUGACUUGGACAAUAUCUUUAUGAUCUGAUCUCAAAUCAGGUAGGACUACCCGCUGAACUUAAGC